AGCUCCAAUAGCGUAUAUUAAAGUUGUUGCGGUUAAAAAGCUCGUAGUUGGAUCUCGGCGGGUAGGGGGUGGUUCAUUAUCUGAUGUUACUGCCCCAUUAUCCGUGUUUCUGACGGAGGUUUGUGGGUGUUCUUUACCGAGUGUCCACAGGCACCGUCAACUUUACUUUGAAAAAAUUAGAGUGCUCAAAGCAGGCUUUUAAGCUUGAAUAUUCGUGCAUGGAAUAAUGGAAUAGGAAGUCGUUUCUAUUUUGUUGGUUUUCGGAAAUUGACUUAAUGAUUAAUAGGGACAGCCGGGGGCAUUAGUAUUCGGACGACAGAGGUGAAAUUCUUGGACCGUCUGAAGACUAACUACUGCGAAAGCAUUUGCCAAGAGUGUUU
rnacentral:rRNA from 1 species